rnacentral:sRNA from 1 species
AGAGAGGAAGAAGAAGAAGAAGAAACAU